ensembl:lncRNA
GGAGACGACAGGAGUUUCUGAAAGAGCAGCGGUGACAGACAAUUGUAGACCUGUUCCUAUUAGGGGUUAAAAAGAAAAUGAGGUUCAUGCUGAUACAAUGGAUCGAAGAUCCCCCAAAAUGGGAUGUGCUUCCAACCAAUAAAAUGAUACAUGGCUGCUGUGAAAUUGGUUGUAUAUGUGACGUUUCAUACGAAGAUGAGUCAAGCCCUGCAAAAAUUUUAAACAUUGGAACUAGAUCUGCAAUGCUGAAGCAGCUAAAUACGGUCAUCAACAGGACUGGGCCUGAAGGAAAUGGAGAACAAUUAGGGAGAGGGCAGCGCAAAAAAUACCGCCGAAUACUGUCGGAGAGCUCCAGCAGUGAGGAAUAUGAGUCUGUCAACAAACAGGUUGCUGCAAAGACCAUAAACAGGAUACGAGCCAGAUCUUUUCUCCAGCAGUAUAAUCAAGAAAAAGAAUCAAACAGGGAGGCAGUAACAUCUAGAAACCGUGACAGUGAAUUUAAUGUUCAAAUACUUGCAGAACUGAGAGAAAUCAAGAGUGUUCUUUUGGAAACUCUGACACUUUUAAAAAAUGGAUGCACUCCAUUAAUGACUGUGCCAAUCCCAAACACAUUGGGAACUCCUCCUGGACCCACUUCAGAUUUGAUCCCCUGCAGUUCAGAGUCUUCUGCAGUCAUACCAGCCCCGAGUUCCUCUCUUCAGACUCUUUAUGUAAAGGAGUCUAGAAGUAAUGGUAACUGCAAAAAGGUAAGAAUUGGCUCCAACACAUCAAUCUCUGCUGAACAGUUUGCCCACGUAAAAUGGACUGAUCACAAAAAAGCCACAAAAGACCUCUUGAUGGCAGUGUUUGGAAGAGGCAUUCUCGCAACACACUGCUACAGUGGAAGAUGUUCCAAUGCAUUCAAAAACAAAGCAGCCAAGCCUCAACUUGAUUCUGAAAAAGUUUCUGACAUCAUUAGCUACAUCAAAAAUAAAUUCAAUGUUGAAGCAAAUGUAAUUAAGAAGGCCAUCUCCCAGAAAUGCACAGACGAGUGCAAGUUGGCAAAACGGCACCACAGUGAUUGUGUGUGACUGUAUGUACAUCAGACUGGUUUGUUCAGGAAUGUUGUAUUUCCCAGUUACUGCUUUAUAUUUAUUGUGUGGUUUGUUUGUUUGUUUGUUUGUGAAAGCCUGUAAUGAAUAUAGUCUGAACAGAGUACAAAAAAAGGUAAUAAAUGCAAUAUAAUUCAAGUUAUGAAAGAAG